AUUGAACGCUGGCGGCAGGCUUAACACAUGCAAGUCGAGCGGGGGAAGGUAGCUUGCUACUGGACCUAGCGGCGGACGGGUGAGUAAUGCUUAGGAAUCUGCCUAUUAGUGGGGGACAACAUCUCGAAAGGGAUGCUAAUACCGCAUACGUCCUACGGGAGAGAGCAGGGGAGCUUCGGACCUUGCGCUAAUAGAUGAGCCUAAGUCGGAUUAGCUAGUUGGUGGGGUAAAGGCCUACCAAGGCGACGAUCUGUAGCGGGUCUGAGAGGAUGAUCCGCCACACUGGGACUGAGACACGGCCCAGACUCCUACGGGAGGCAGCAGUGGGGAAUAUUGGACAAUGGGGGGAACCCUGAUCCAGCCAUGCCGCGUGUGUGAAGAAGGCCUUAUGGUUGUAAAGCACUUUAAGCGAGGAGGAGGCUACUCUAGUUAAUACCUAGGGAUAGUGGACGUUACUCGCAGAAUAAGCACCGGCUAACUCUGUGCCAGCCGCCGCCGUAA
rnacentral:rRNA from 1 species